UACGUAGGGGGCAAGCGUUGUCCGGAUUUAUUGGGCGUAAAGAGCGUGUAGGCGGCUAGGUAGGUCCGUUGUGAAAACUCGAGGCUCAACCUCGAGACGUCGAUGGAAACCAUCUAGCUAGAGUCCGGAAGAGGAGAGUGGAAUUCCUGGUGUAGCGGUGAAAUGCGCAGAUAUCGGGAAGAACACCUGUGGCGAAGGCGGCUCUCUGGGACGGUACUGACGCUGAGACGCGAAAGCGUGGGGAGCAAACAGG
rnacentral:rRNA from 1 species